rnacentral:rRNA from 1 species
UACGGAGGGUGCGAGCGUUAUCCGGAAUCACUGGGUUUAAAGGGUGCGUAGGCGGUCUGAUAAGUCAGUUGUGAAAUUCCUCGGCUUAACCGAGUGGACUGCGAUUGAUACUGUCAGACUUGAAUCAGGUUGAGGUAGGCGGAAUGUGACAUGUAGCGGUGAAAUGCUUAGAUAUGUCAUAGAACACCGAUUGCGAAGGCAGCUUGCUGGGCUUAGAUUGACGCUGAGGCACGAAAGCGUGGGGAGCAAAAGG